GAUGAAGAACGUAGCGAAAUGCGAUAAGUAAUGUGAAUUGCAGAAUUCAGUGAAUCAUCGAAUCUUUGAACGCACCUUGCACCCUUUGGUAUUCCGAAGGGUAUGCUCGUUUGAGUGUCAUUGUACUCUCACACUUCCGAUCGUUGGAUUGGGAGCGGUGGACUUGGGUGUUGCUGCUUACUGUGGCUCACCUCAAAUCGAUUCGUGCACCUCUUGGUUGGACAUAGUACGGCGUGAUAAGUGUCUUCGCCGGCACCUCAGUAGAGGGUGGCUGAUCGGGAGCUCUGUGCUUCAAACCGUCCUCGGACAACAACUGACAACUUGACCUCAAAUCGAGUAGGACUACCCGCUGAACUUAAGCAUAUCAAUAAGCGGAGGA
rnacentral:misc_RNA from 1 species